rfam:Streptomyces sp. CB02056 scaffold18, whole genome shotgun sequence.
AGCUCCACCGGGUCGACCGCGCGGGUGGCGAGCAGGUAGUCGCGAAUGGCUAUUCCGUGCCGGCCCUC